rnacentral:snoRNA from 1 species
GAAUGAAGGAAGCAUGGUAAGGUGCACAGAGAUGAAAUCCGGGGUCCAAAUGUCUGCUCGCUUUGAUGCUUUAUGGCUUUGAUUACGCGAGCCUGGAUCCGACCUACAUUU